rnacentral:rRNA from 1 species
UCGCCAAAUAACUACGAGAUAGACUUAAAAUUUAAAAGACUUGACGGUACCUCAAAACAACCUAGAGGAGCCUGUCAAAUAACCGAUAAUCCACGAUUAACCCAACCCACACUAGCCCACCAGCCUAUAUACCACCGUCGCCAGCCUACCUUAUGAAAGAAACAAAGUAAGCCAAAUAGCCAUACACUAAAACGACAGGUCGAGGUGUAGCUCAUGAGUGGGUCCAAGAUGGGCUACACUUUCUACUACAGAAAACACGAAUAAACUAUGAAACAAGAAACUGAAGGAGGAUUUAGAAGUAUAUUAGGAAUAAAAUACCUAAUCGAAACCAAUGCAAUGAAGUGCGUACACACCGCCCGUCAUCCCUGUAAAUUUAACUAAAACUUACAUAAAUACAUAUACUAAUUAAAACAGGGCAAGUCGUAACAAGGUAAGUGU